rnacentral:rRNA from 1 species
GCUCAGAAACUUAAGGAAUUGACGGGGCCCGCACAAGCGGAGGAGCAUGUGGUUUAAUUCGAUGAUACGCGAGGAACCUUACCUAGGCUCGAACGUAAGAUGACUGUAGGUGAAAGCUUACAUCUCUUCGGAGCAUUUUACGAGGUGCUGCAUGGUUGUCGUCAGCUCGUGCCGUGAGGUGUCGGGUUAAGUCCCAUAACGAGCGCAACCCCUACCUUUAGUUGCCAUCAGGUAAUGCUGGGGACUCUAAAGGAACUGCCUACGCAAGUAGUGAGGAAGGCGGGGAUGACGUCAAAUCAGCACGGCCCUUACGUCCAGGGCUACACACGUGCUACAAUGGCCGAUACAGAGGGCAGCUACCUGGUGACAGGAUGCAAAUCUCCAAAGUCGGUCUCAGUUCGGAUCGGAGUCUGCAACCCGACUCCGUGAAGUUGGAUUCGCUAGUAAUCGCGCAUCAGCCAUGGCGCGGUGAAUACGUUCCCGGGCCUU